GUUCGGAACACUGGGUGUCUUCGCGAAGAUUUUUAUUCCUCCAGCCGCCGGGCAAACAACAAAAAAAAAAAAGUCGAUGGAUGGUGUCGAUGUCAACGGGCCGAGGACGGAUGACAAACAGUAAAUGUGAGGUUAAGAAUAUAGAUCAUCAUGACAACGCUAUAUUAAAGUGUUUAAUUAAUAAUAAAAUAACCACGAUCCACACAACAAAACAUAACAUGGCGCAGUUGUGAGUUGGUUUAUGUGUUAAUAAGAACCUACAAGAAUGGGUGACAACAGGGGUGUACCAACAAUGCGAACCUACCAUACCUAACCAUACUUGUCUUUAUCUAUGAUGCGAACGAUGGACAAUGUGGCUGAGAACUGGAACCAGAGACAAGAAAUAAUCCCUUAUUAUUAUAUUAGUUAUUCCUUGUCUCUGACUGGAACGUUUGGCGGUGCAGGUUCGAAAAUGAUUUGGGGACUUAAGGACUGUAAGCUGGGAGACCUUCAGGAUGAAUUAACCACAACAGUAUUGAUUUGUGGAAUAAAUAACACACAAAUUAGAGAAAAACUGCUACAAGAAGGAGAUGGUGUUUCUUUAGAGAAAAUCAUUGCAAAAUGCAAAAUAUGUGAAGUCAAAGGAAAGGAGCGAACGUAUGAAGAAUUGUUUGUCUGUAGGAGCAGUACAUCGAGAGAGCAAGAAAAAAUUUAAAGAAAAAGAACGUAACAACAGCCCAGCAUUCAGAAAGGAAUGUAAUUUUUGCCAUAUCAAAAAUCACUUUGAAAGCAAAUGUUUAAAGAAGAAAUACAAGCGAGAUGUGCAGGAAAUCACGGAGGAAAUGGGAGAAAUAAGGGAAGAACAAAUCAAACGCAACCACUAAGAGAACUCCCAAAAAAGGAUAUGGAGUUUAUUUGGAGCGAGGAACAUGAGAAGGCGUUUCAAAACUUAAAAGAAAUAUUGAUAAAUACACCCGUAUUGCAAUUUUUUGACCCAGAUAAAAAAAAUUGUAAUUUCAGUUGAUGCUUCAAAGUCGGGAGUGGGAGCUUGCUUAUUGCAAAACAAUAUGCCGUGUGCGUAUGCCUCAAAAGCUUUAAGAGAAACACAAACAAGAUACGCACAAAUUGACAAAGUACUUUAGGCAAUAUACUUUGGUUUAAACAAGUUUUAUCAAUAUGCGUAUGGGCAAAGGGUUACCGUGGAGACCGAUCAUCAGCCUUUAAUAUCAAUUUUCAAAAAACCUCUAAAUAAAUGUCCAGUGAGACUUCCGCGAAUGAUACUGCAAGUGCAAAAAUUUGAUACAGAAUUAAGGUUUAAGCCGGGGAAAGAUUUAAUAUUAGUGGAUGCUCUCUCUCGGGCAUAUGUAAUUGAUAAUGAAGAAGAGUACUUUGAUAAGGACAUUGAGAGUUAAAUGUGUUUAGUAAGAAUGGAAUUAAAUGCUACAGAUGAUAAAAUAAA
rnacentral:lncRNA from 1 species